CAGUCGAGCGGCAGCGGGAAGUAGCUUGCUACUUUGCCGGCGAGCGGCGGACGGGUGAGUAAUGUCUGGGAAACUGCCUGAUGGAGGGGGAUAACUACUGGAAACGGUAGCUAAUACCGCAUGACCUCGAAAGAGCAAAGUGGGGGAUCUUCGGACCUCACGCCAUCGGAUGUGCCCAGAUGGGAUUAGCUAGUAGGUGAGGUAAUGGCUCACCUAGGCGACGAUCCCUAGCUGGUCUGAGAGGAUGACCAGCCACACUGGAACUGAGACACGGUCCAGACUCCUACGGGAGGCAGCAGUGGGGAAUAUUGCACAAUGGGCGCAAGCCUGAUGCAGCCAUGCCGCGUGUGUGAAGAAGGCCUUAGGGUUGUAAAGCACUUUCAGCGAGGAGGAAGGCAUCACACUUAAUACGUGUGGUGAUUGACGUUACUCGCAGAAGAAGCACCGGCUAACUCCGUGCCAGCAGCCGCGGUAAUACGGAGGGUGCAAGCGUUAAUCGGAAUUACUG
rnacentral:rRNA from 1 species